ACGGCUCAGUAACACGUGGACAACCUACCCUUAGGCCUGGGAUAACCCCGGGAAACUGGGAAUAAUACCGGAUAUAUCGCGAAUGCUGGAAUGUGUCGCGAUAGAAAGCUCCGGCGCCUAAGGAUGGGUCUGCGGCCUAUCAGGGUAGUAGUGGGUGUAAUGUACCUACUAGCCUACGACGGGUACGGGUUGUGAGAGCAAGAGCCCGGAGAUGGAUUCUGAGACACGAAUCCAGGCCCUACGGGGUGCAGCAGGCGCGAAAACUUUACAAUGCUGGCAACAGCGAUAAGGGGACCUCGAGUGCCAGGAUACAAUCCUGGCUGUCGUAAUGCCUAAAAAGCAUUGCAUAGCAAGGGCCGGGCAAGACCGGUGCCAGCCGCCGCGGUAACACCGGCGGCUCGAGUGGUAACCGCUAUUAUUGGGUCUAAAGGGUCUGUAGCCGGCUGAAUAAGUCUCUUGGGAAAUCUGGCAGCUCAACUGUCAGGCUUUCAGGAGAUACUGUUCGGCUCGAGACCGGGAGAGGUGAGAGGUACCUCAGGGGUAGGGGUGAAAUCUUGUAAUCCUUGAGGGACCACCAGUGGCGAAGGCGUCUCACCAGAACGGAUCUGACGGCAAGGGACGAAAGCUAGGGGCACGAACCGGAUUAGAUACCCGGGUAGUCCUAGCCGUAAACGAUGCAGGCUAGGUGUUAGGGCGGCUACGUGCCGCUCUAGUGCCGCAGGGAAGCUGUUAAGCCUGCCGCCUGGGGAGUACGGCCGCAAGGCUGAAACUUAAA
rnacentral:rRNA from 1 species